rnacentral:rRNA from 1 species
UACGUAGGGUGCAGGCGUUAAUCGGAAUUACUGGGCGUAAAGCGUGCGCAGGCGGUUUGCUAAGACAGGUGUGAAAUCCCCGGGCUUAACUCGGGAACUGCUUUUGAUACUGUCUGACUAGAAUUCGGUAGAGGGAGGCGGAACUCCAGGUGUAGCGGUGAAAUGCGUAGAUAUCUGGAAGAACACCAAUGGCGAAGGCAACCUCCUGGGCCUGAAUUGACACUGAGACACGAAAAGCGUGGGGAUCAAACAGG